AGCGAACGCUGGCGGCGGGCUUAACACAUGCAAGUCGAACGGGCACUUCGGUGCUAGUGGCAGACGGGUGAGUAACGCGUGGGAACGUACCUUUCGGUUCGGAAUAAUUCAGGGAAACUUGGACUAAUACCGGAUACGCCCUUCGGGGGAAAGAUUUAUCGCCGAUAGAUCGGCCCGCGUCUGAUUAGCUAGUUGGUGAGGUAAUGGCUCACCAAGGCGACGAUCAGUAGCUGGUCUGAGAGGAUGAUCAGCCACAUUGGGACUGAGACACGGCCCAAACUCCUACGGGAGGCAGCAGUGGGGAAUAUUGGACAAUGGGCGCAAGCCUGAUCCAGCCAUGCCGCGAGAGUGAUGAAGGCCUUAGGGUUGUAAAGCUCUUUUGUCCGGGAAGAUAAUGACUGUACCGGAAGAAUAAGCCCCGGCUAACUUCGUGCCAGCAGCCGCGGUAAGAC
rnacentral:rRNA from 1 species